rnacentral:rRNA from 1 species
UACGUAGGUGGCAAGCGUUGUCCGGAUUUAUUGGGCGUAAAGAGCGCGCAGGCGGUUCGUUUAGUCCGAGGUGGAAAUCUCCCGGCUCAACUGGGAGGGUCUUUGGAUACUGGCGGACUUGAGGAGAGCAGAGGUGAGUGGAAUUCUGGGUGGUAGUGGUGAAAUGCGUAGAUAUCCAAGAGGAACACCAGCGGCGAAGGCGGCUCACUGGGCUCCACCUGACGCUGAGGCGCGAAAGCGUGGGGAGCGAACCGGA